rnacentral:ncRNA from 1 species
GAUGAUAGAGGUGCGAUUUUUAUCAGUAUGCAAUAGGAGGGGAAUGAGCCCCUAUGAUUAUUGUAGAAAGGAAAGGUCGCCGAAGUAAAAAAGGGCUCAUACCUUUUUUGCUGGUCUUAUGUUUAAGAGACAUAAGAUUGUCAAGAUGAGUUAAUCUUGGAGGGCUAUCUC